rnacentral:rRNA from 1 species
CGGCGCAUGGGAGAGUAACGCGUGGAUACCUGCCCCUAGCAACGGCAUAGCGGCGGGAAACUGCCGGUAAUACCGUAUAAUGUCUCCGGACUAAAGGUGUGAUUCCGGCUAGGGAGGGGUCCGCGUCCUAUUAGGAAGAUGGUGGGGUAACGGCCUACCAUUCCUGAGAUGGGUAGCGGGUGUGAGAGCAUGGCCCGCCUCACUGGGACUGAAACACUGCCCAGACACCUACGGGUGGCUGCAGUCGAGAAUCUUCGGCAAUGGGCGAAAGCCUGACCGAGCGACGCCGCGUGCGGGAUGAAGGCCUUCGGGUUGUAAACCGCUGUCAGAGGGGAGGAAAUGUUUGCAGGCUAUCCUGCUUACUUGACCGAUCCUCAGAGGAAGUACGGGCUAAGUUCGUGCCAGCAGCCGCGGUAAUACGAACCGUACGAACGUUAUUCGGAAUCACUGGGCUUAAAGAGUGCGUAGGCGGCCUAGCAAGUUGGGUGUGAAAUCCCUCGGCUCAACCGAGGAACUGCGCCCAAAACUGUUAGGCUUGAGGGAGGCAGAGGUGAGCGGAACUAAUGGUGGAGCGGUGAAAUGCGUUGAUAUCAUUAGGAACACCGGUGGCGAAGGCGGCUCACUGGGCCUCUUCUGACGCUGAGGCACGAAAGCUAGGGGAGCGAACGGGAUUAGAUACCCCGGUAGUCCUAGCUGUAAACGAUGAGCACUAGGUUGUGGGACCUUCCACAGUUUCACGACCGUAGCGAAAGUGUUAAGUGCUCCGCCUGGGGAGUAUGGUCGCAAGGCUGAAACUCAAAGGAAUUGACGGGGGCUCACACAGCGGUGGAAGGAUGUGGCUUAAUUCCAGGCUACGCGAAGAACCUUAUCCUGG